CGGGUUGCAGCAGUGGGGAAUAUUGGACAAUGGGCGAAAGCCUGAUCCAGCCAUGCCGCGUGAGUGAUGAAGGCCCUAGGGUUGUAAAGCUCUUUUGUGCGGGAAGAUAAUGACGGUACCGCAAGAAUAAGCCCCGGCUAACUUCGUGCCAGCAGCCGCGGUAAUACGAAGGGGGCUAGCGUUGCUCGGAAUCACUGGGCGUAAAGGGUGCGUAGGCGGGUUUUUAAGUCAGAGGUGAAAUCCUGGAGCUCAACUCCAGAACUGCCUUUGAUACUGAAAGUCUUGAGUAUGACAGAGGUGAGUGGAACUGCGAGUGUAGAGGUGAAAUUCGUAGAUAUUCGCAAGAACACCAGUGGCGAAGGCGGCUCACUGGGUCAUUACUGACGCUGAGGCACGAAAGCGUGGGGAGCAAACAGGAUUAGAUACCCUGGU
rnacentral:rRNA from 1 species